rnacentral:lncRNA from 1 species
UAAGCUCAUACAGUUUCUCUUCACACAGGGCACAAAAUGUCAGUCAGUUACCUCCCCUUAGCCCUGGUGAGGAAGAGGCACUUUUUCAUUUUGCAUUUUUCCUUUAGUGCCUCCUUCCCAUUAGCUCUUUGACUUCUUCGGCUGUGGCCACAUUUACAAAUCAUGUUUAUGUUAGUGACCUUCUUCUACUGAGAAAAAAUUGUUUCUAGGCAAUGGUAUGCUGGUCAAUGUUUAACAAACUGGCUUUCUGGGAAAGCGUAUAUGCUUAUGAUCAACAAAACAAUACGUCAAGCCCUGAUUUGUAGCCUUUGCCAGUUUCAGUGGCGUAAAUACUCCCAUUGCUAUGUAUUUAGGCCGUUCCUCUGACUUGCGACUUAGGCCAUUGUUCAUCAGUGUCGGGGAAGGACGUCCAGAUGGGAUAUUCCUGGCUCCCAGUGGCUCGCCCUUGCUUCCAAUCUCUGUUUUCCAAAUUGGGACUAUCAGGUAAAGAUUUAAGUGUGAGAAACAGCGUGAUGUCAGCAGAGGGGAGAAAUGAAACUAGAUGUAAUGAAAGUAACUAGGCCCUUGACUUCUUGGCUGAUGCCUGCCCGUGUUGGGGAGGACCGUCUGCUCUGCUAGAAUCUGUGCAUGCUCACCCUCCACCCAAGCCGCUCUAGGUGUCUACUCCUGCUCCCCCUUCAGAGUUCUCAACUGUCCUGGGGGAAGCCUCCGUUGACCCCUGAAGUUAGGUCAGAGGCCCUGUUCUGUGAAUCCCUUGACCCUGGACUCCUCUGGCGUCAUCGCAAAGGAAGAUUAGCCCUGAGCUUACUGCUGCCAAUCCUCCUCUUUUUGUUGAGGAAGACUGGCCCUGAGCUAACAUCUGUGCCCAUCUUCCUCUACUUUAUAUGUGGGACGCCUACCACAGCAUGGCUUGCCAAGCCGUGCCAUGUCUGCACCCAGGAUCCGAACCGGCGAACCCGGGGCUGCCGAAGUGGAACAUGUGCACUUAACCACUGCGCCACCGGGCUGGCCCCUGUGGAGCAUAUUUUUAAGUGCUUAUUUGCUAUCUGUGUAUCUUCUUUGGUGAGGUGGCUAUUGAGGUCUUUGACUCAUUUUUAAAUUGGAUUGUUUGUUUUCUGGCUAGAAGAAUUUAACCCAACUAAGGAGGAAAGAGAAGCUUCCCUGAGAAAGUGAUGACUUGAAAGAAGAAACUUGAAUGAUGAGUCAGAGUUGGAUAGGUUAAGAGAUAGGAAGCGAGAGGAAAAGGAAAAUGUAUAGACAAAGGGAAAAUUAUAUGCCAAUGCAAGGAGUUGAGAAAGAGGUGCCACGCUUGAAGAAGGCUGGAGGAUAAUCAAGCAAAUGGGAGAAUGAUGCCUAAAGUAUGCAGGAACAAGAGUUUUAUAAGAUUAUCUGAGAUUUGAGAUAUUUUUCUAAAGAAGAGUCAAAAUGAAAAGUUUUAAAUAGC